UCUCCCCUAGAGAUUGACCUGAACUUACUCACCUACCCCCUAAUUCAUUUUGCCUCUCACCUCCAUCUAAAUCUCCAGGGUCGAAUCUCUCCCCUAGAGAUUGACCUGAACUUACUCACCUACCACCUAAUCCAUUUGCCUCUCUCCUCUCUAGGGUUGAAUUCAAGUUCCCAUUUACCAAACCACGAAUUUGAAGAGUGUAAGAUGAGAGGAUUAGAGAUGUGGAACAAGAUUCAGAGGAUACUGCUUCCAAACAAAAUCCAGGUGAUCACAUAUACACAUGGAGGAGAGGCAAUAAAAAACACCACGGGAUAUACGUGAAUGAUGAAAUAGUGAUCCACUUAACUGGAGGAGCAUGGUCAGAUAGUACAUGUCCAAAAUGUGGAGGUCGAUCAAGUUUUCGUGUUGUGGUCUAUUCCUGCAUUGAUUGUUUUCUUUCAGGUGGAGAUCUACAUGUCUUUGAAUAUGGUGUUAAUCCAGCUCUCUUUCUUGCCAAACUUUGGGAAGGUACCUGUACCCUAGCUUCUACAGAUAAGGCUGAAGUUGUCGAGAAGCGUGCGUAUACCUUCAUCAAUAAUACAUCUGCCGACUACUAUCGUUACAUAAACAACAGUGAAGACUUUGCAAUAUAUUGCAAAACGGGCUUGCUAGUGGUAGAUAGCAUUAAUUUCAGCAGAAGUUGGCAAACAGCAUUUUUCUUGGUUGUUACUGCUGCUGCAUUUGUUUCUCUACAGCAGCUCACAGCUGCUACUUUUAUUGGUCUGUUGGGUAGAUAUGUUGGCAUAUACUGUAUAUGUAGAUUUGCUCCUGAUGUCGGAGCUCGUCCUAAUGUUAUCAAAGUUGAUUAAGUAGAGGGAUUGCCUCAAGUUUCUGAGGUAUUGUCUUCUGGUGGUUUGCACUUCCAACCUCUUCAAGUCUUUACUAACAUGAUUUUAUUGAUCCUGAUCGUGGCUUUCAUUUUCUGUUUGCUGUCAACUCUGCGGUCUGAACCUCUUCGAGUGUUGUCUAACACUUCUAAAGUGGUUUGGGCUCAAGCAUGCAUCAUGUUUUUCUACUGGGCAGUGUUGCAAAGGAGGCUGCUUUCUAACAAGGUCGGGAAGGAGCAACUGAAGCCUGGGGAUCACAUCUGCACAUAUAGGCGUGGCCAUUCCUACUCCCAUCAUGGGAUAUAUAUUGGCAACAGAAAGGUGAUCCACCUCCAUCGAGGAGCAGAUCCUAUAAGUGGUGGUGGUGGUCAAUCAAUGCAAUGUCGUGUGGACUUAUGCUGCAUAAAUUGUUUUCUUGAUGGUGGGGAACUCUGUAUCCAUAGAUAUGGUGUUGAUGUUGUUUUCUUUGUGGCCAAAAUUCGAGGGGGUACCUGUACACGUGCCUCUACCGAUCCAACAGAAGUUGUCCUGGACCGUGCUAAUUUACUCAAUGAUAGAGACUUUGGUGCCUACAACCUUUUCAACAACAACUGUGAAGACUUUGCAAUAUAUUGCAAAACUGGUGCGCUGUCAACAAAAAAACUCACUAAUCACGGAAAGAACGGGCAGAUAGCAUCCUUGUUAGGUGUCCUUCUUGCUAUCUUUGUUUUUAAUGAUAGAUUCCCAACUAGUAAUUAUAUUGAUGCAGCAGCUACCGUUUUUUUCAUUUACUCUAUUUUUAGAAUACUUGAUGAUGAAUCAGAAACUGGAAAUGCUUAUAAAGUUCCAGUUAACGAAUUGGCAGCUUCAUAUCAAAGCCGUCUUGAUUUUCGCAUCUGGUUGAGACGAUGGGGGCUUAUUAUAGGCCUUGUGAUGAUUAUCUAUUACAGUGUUGAAGCUGUGCUCCAAAAGUUGUUCUAAAUUGAGAAGCACCAGAGCUGUUGUAAACAAAAAUGUGAGACGCACCAUUUAUUCAGUUUAAGCAAUGUUGCAUGUUUUUAAGGGCUGACUAGGCAAGAAACAGUUCUGUUGGUCUAUCUAUCAGCAUCAGUAUCUGAUCUGUUCUUCACCAUUGAGAUUCAUUCGGUUGCUUCUUUUCACGAUUCUCGUACAAGACCAAUCAUCCAAGAAGGGCUUGGCAUUGUUAUCUGAGACAAGACAUUCAAUAACCUUUUAUUGUCUAUUGCUCCUUUGCCUUUGUUUUCUUACAAUUCUGCGGUGCCUUGGAACAUAACUAUCAUCUGCUCUUACCUUUUACAAGAGUCGCUGCAACUCUCACUUAUGAAUAUGCUGUAAUGCCUAGUUCCUUGAUACCAGCAUAUUAUACUUUUGUAUCCUUUAUCUGCUGUAUAUUUGCCUAUAUUAUUGGGUUUUUGUAGACGUAAAACCACAUCUUUCUUAUAGUAUAUAGUAUUUUUUAUAUAACAAUAUAUAAUCUCCAUUGCCCCUUUGGUAUUGAUGUUGUGUAGGAAAGAUGCAAUUAAUCCUUCCAAAAGCUGCAGCAGUUAGGAAAUGCACAAUCUAGUCCUCAAUCAUCCAGCAAAAGGCCUAAGAAUGCAUCCUUCAACAUCUAGCUGUCCAAAUCCUCUUCGGAAACCUUUACAGACUUGGGAAAACCCCUUGGUUUGGUGAUACCCUUAAGCAUGUGAAGUGGGAUGGGGUAUAGGUGUUAAGUUAGAUCUAACUGAAGCAAGAGAGCAGGGGUUAAAAGGGGUGGAAGGGGUGGAACAAUCCAGUGGAAAACUUACUGGCAUGGUAGCAAUAAACACAUAAAGAAACACUUUAAUCAAAGGCAAAAUUAGUGAGCUCAGGAAGCAAUUGUCCAAAAAAUCUGGCUCAAUCUAUGGCCAUCUUCUUGCUACCAUCAUAGAUGAUUAUAUUCUUUCUUACUGCUUCGACCAUGUUGAUUUUAGCCCCAUUAUAUAUUGUUCAAUUGGAGUUUUUUGUUUUCAAUUUUUUUUGUUACCUCUAUUACUGCUUCCAGUUCAUGCUUAUGCGAGGUUUCUGGUAUGACUUCUUUAACAAUUAAACAAAAUAUUUCAACCAGAAAAGCAAUUAAAUAAAAUAUGUUACAGUCACAUUAGGUGAAAGCAUUAUUUUAUAUAGCCCACUUUCUUGAUAAACAUUAGGUCUCUUUCUCCCUGUUUCUAUCUCCUGUUCUGUUUUUGGGUAAACAUAAUAAAUCGUGAACAUAUGCAUAUUAGUUUGUGGACGUGUCCCAUCAAAGAUUAUUGUAUGGCAAGUGUAUUAGUAGAAAACUCCAAGCACUAAUGUUCUUUCCUUGACUAAUUUGAUGAGCAAAAAACAAUAGUAGCAUCUUUGCCUCGGUUGUUUGAUGACAUUAUUAUUUGUUUAAUAAUUGAAAACUGGACUCAAUCCCUCUGUCAGCCAACCAGUUCUGCAUUAUAGAAACCUACGUCCCCAUGAACUGCUUAUUUUAAUACAAUCCUACGUCCUUUUAUGACCUCAUAUCCAUUUAUAUGCACUUAGUAGCCUACCCCAUAAACCAGGCCCUGUACCAAGGGACUAAUAUUCGCAUAGAAGAAGAUGGAAAUAUCCCAAGUGUAAGAAAUUAAUAUGAGAGGAUCAGCAGAGCUGUGGAACAAGAUCCAGAGGGUACUGCUUCCAAACGUAGUCCAGAAGAAUCAAUAGAAUCCUGGGGAUCACAUCUACACCUGGAGGCAAGCGAAUAGAAAACACCACGGGAUAUUUGUUGGUGAUGGAAAUGUGAUCCACCUCACUCAAGCAGCAGGCUCAAAUCAUAGUAUAUGUCCAACAUGUGCUGAUGAUCAACCAAUGGCGCAUCUUUUUGGUGUGGUGUCAACGUCUCUAGAAGAUUUUCUUUUUGGUGGAGGUCUCUUCCUCUUUGAAUAUGGUGUUAAUCCAACUCUCUUCCUCGCCAAAUUUUGGGAAUUAGGUACCUGUAACAUUGCCUCUUCUGAUCCACCUGAAGUUGUCAAGAAUCGUGCUUCUUUCCUCCUCUGUAAUGGUUCUGAUUCUGGUUACUACUACCGUUAUAUAAACAACAGUAGAUAAUUUGCAAUAUAUUGCAAAACAGGGUUGCUAGUGGUAGAUAGAAUUGAUUUCAGCAGAAGUUGGCAAACUGCAUUUUUCUUGGCUGUUACUGUUUCUGUCUAUCUUUCUCUGCAGCAACUGGCAACUGUUGCCUUUACUGGUCUGGUAGCUAGAUAUGCUGGUGUGUAUUGUAUAUGUAGAUUAGCUCCUGAUAUCGGAGCUCAUCCUAAUGUUAUCAAAGUUGAUCAAGUAGAGAGAUUGCUUAAAGUUGAUGAGAUAUUGGCUUCUAGUGGUUUGGGCUCCCGAGUUGUUCAAUCCCAUAUUAACACGGUUUUAGUAAUCCUGAUGUGUAGUUUUUCUUUUGCUUUGCUAUUAGGCUUUCGGUCUGACACUCUUAAACUGUGGUCUGAGACUCUUCAAGUGGUCUGGACUCUAGCAUCCAUCAUAUUUUUCUACUGGGCAAUAUCACAAAGAAGGCUGGUUCCGAACAAGAUACAGGAGAAGCAAUGAAGCCUGGGGAUCACAUCUACACAUAUAGGCGCGCCCAUACCUACUCCCAUCAUGGCCUUCUUCUUCUUUAAAAGAGUUUUUUUUUUUUUUUUUUUUUAAAUCAUUGUAUUAUUAUUAUUAUUAUUAUUUGUUACAAAGUAUUCAAUUUUGAUCUUUUUAAACACUUAGAAUUCAUUUAAUUCGCAUAUGUUAAGGUUUUGGCUUAGUAAAUUUGACCAUCAUUUGUUAACUUCAAUUAUGGUAUAUUAAUUAUGCUAUGAUUUUGGAGAUUAUUUGCUUGCUAUAAGCAUGUUCACACUCUUUCCAAAAGCUUAAAGCCAUUGAGAGGUAGUUGUGAUUAUAUUCAUAUUGUCUCAGGCGUAUACAUGGGUAACAGAAAGGUGAUCCACCUCGAUCGAGGAGGAGACCCUAUUAGUGGUAGUGUUCAACCAACAAAUUAUGAUGUGGAGUCUUGCUGCAUAAAUUGUUUUCUUGCUGGUGGAGAGCUGUAUCUGUAUAAAUAUGGUGUUAAUCUUGCUUUUUUUUUAUUGCCAAAACUCGAGGGGGUACCUGCACAUGCGUCUCCACCCUAUCAGCUAAACUUGCACAGUGCAAGUUUACUCCUCAAGAAUAGAGACUUUGGUGUCUACAACCUUUUCAACAACAACUGUGAAGAGUUUGCAGUAUAUUGCAGAACAGGCUUGCUGCCAAGAAGAAUAAUCAUUAAUCAUGGCAAGGACGGACAGAUAUCAUCCCUCUUAGCAGUCUUUGUUGCCAUCUUUAUCUUUUUAUCGUUGAGGUUCCCAACUAGUAACUAUAUAGACGUGGCAGCUACUGUUUAUUUCACCUACUUUAUGCUUAGAUAUAUUGUUGAUGAUGCAGGACGUGGAAAAGAUAAUAGUGUUCCACUUUAUGAAUUGGCUGAUGAAUUUCGAAGACAUACGUAGUAGUUCUCACAUCCAGAUGAGCAAGAGACGGUGGCUUUAUGUUGUCUUUUUGGUGAUUAUUAUCUGUCUCCAUGAAAAAACUGUGAUGUUAUGCUUCAAAAGGUUAAAGGUUUUAGAACAAGCUUUAGUUCAAGCAUGCAGUGCGUUUUAAGUGCUUACUAGGCAUGAAAAAGUUAUUCUUUUUGUUUAGUUUGUUUAGGUUCUGUCUUUCGGUGAGAGAAUGAUCUUUCUAUCUGUAUAAACUCUAUUGUUAG